rnacentral:rRNA from 1 species
UUUAAUUGAAGAGUUUGAUCAUGGCUCAGAUUGAACGCUGGCGGCAGGCCUAACACAUGCAAGUCGAGCGGCAGCACAGAGGAACUUGUUCCUUGGGUGGCGAGCGGCGGACGGGUGAGUAAUGCCUGGGAAAUUGCCCGGUAGAGGGGGAUAACCAUUGGAAACGAUGGCUAAUACCGCAUAACCUCGUAAGAGCAAAGCAGGGGACCUUCGGGCCUUGCGCUACCGGAUAUGCCCAGGUGGGAUUAGCUAGUUGGUGAGGUAAGGGCUCACCAAGGCGACGAUCCCUAGCUGGUCUGAGAGGAUGAUCAGCCACACUGGAACUGAGACACGGUCCAGACUCCUACGGGAGCAGCA